rnacentral:rRNA from 1 species
UGGCGGCGUGCCUAAUACAUGCAAGUCGAGCGAAGAGAUGGGAGCUUGCUCCCAGAUCUUAGCGGCGGACGGGUGAGUAACACGUGGGCAACCUGCCCUGCAGACUGGGAUAACUCCGGGAAACCGGAGCUAAUACCGGGUAAUACAUCGCACCGCAUGGUGCAAUGUUGAAAGUUGGCUUUCUGAGCUAACACUGCAGGAUGGGCCCGCGGCGCAUUAGCUAGUUGGUAAGGUAAUGGCUUACCAAGGCAACGAUGCGUAGCCGACCUGAGAGGGUGAUCGGCCACACUGGGACUGAGACACGGCCCAGACUCCUACGGGAGGCAGCAGUAGGGAAUCUUCCGCAAUGGACGAAAGUCUGACGGAGCAACGCCGCGUGAGUGACGAAGGCCUUCGGGUCGUAAAGCUCUGUUGUUAGGGAAGAACAAGUACCGUUCGAAUAGGGCGGUACCUUGACGGUACCUAACCAGAAAGCCACGGCUAACUACGUGCCA